rnacentral:rRNA from 1 species
AGUGAACGCUGGCGGUAGGCCUAACACAUGCAAGUCGAACGGCAGCACAGUAAGAGCUUGCUCUUACGGGUGGCGAGUGGCGGACGGGUGAGGAAUACAUCGGAAUCUACUUUUUCGUGGGGGAUAACGUAGGGAAACUUACGCUAAUACCGCAUACGACCUACGGGUGAAAGCAGGGGAUCUUCGGACCUUGCGCGAUUGAAUGAGCCGAUGUCGGAUUAGCUAGUUGGCGGGGUAAAGGCCCACCAAGGCGACGAUCCGUAGCUGGUCUGAGAGGAUGAUAAGCCACACGGGAAGUGAGAAACGGUCCAGACUCCUACGGGAGGCAGCAGUGGGGAAUAUUGGACAAUGGGCGCAAGCCUGAUCCAGCCAUACCGCGUGGGUGAAGAAGGCCUUCGGGUUGUAAAGCCCUUUUGUUGGGAAAGAAAAGCAGCAGGUUAAUACCCCGCUGUUCUGACGGUACCCAAAGAAUAAGCACCGGCUAACUUCGUG